rnacentral:snoRNA from 1 species
UUUGUUAUAUCAUCAUUACAACAAAAAAUAGCUGCCUGGCCAAUGCCCUCAUUAAAUGUUGGUGGUAUGCUUCAUGAGGGACAGGUCUUUUGCUAAGACCACAAGGGCCUGCGGCCCCAAAAAUGGAGUUUGAUAGUAAUUCUUGCUGCAAGU